CAGGAGCACCGGACCGCGGCCCAGGUUACUGGGAGGAAAGUCCGAACACCUCUGCGACAGCAAUGUCCAGAACAAGGGAUGUCGUUAACGGCGACCGGGUAUACGUGGAUCGUUCACUCAUUGGAUUCCUGUGAGUGAGAGAUGCACAAAGCCUAGGGAAAGUGCCACAGAGACAAUACGGCCGCUCACGGCUUAAGGUGAAAAGUGCUGCGAUACGGUGUGCGACUUCGGUUGUACAUCACGCAACUCGUCCUCUGGUGACAGAGUGACGUGGUAAACCCAUCCCGGUGCAAGUGCAAAUUUGGUAGCACGCUCGAGCCCAACAGCAAUGUUGUGCCCAGAUAGAUCGCGGUCUCCCACGUAGCUCCUUGGAGCUUUACGUGGCUAGACAGAAUUCGGCUUACAGGUGUCCCAAGGCU
rnacentral:RNase_P_RNA from 1 species